ACGCUCGACACCUACGGGAGCAGCAGUGGGGAAUAUUGCACAAUGGGGGAAACCCUGAUGCAGCGACGCCGCGUGAGGGAAGAAGGUUUUCGGAUUGUAAACCUCUGUCCUUGGUGAAGAAAGCAGACGGUAGCCAAGGAGGAAGCCACGGCUAACUACGUGCCAGCAGCCACGGUAAUCUGAGCGGGCUGGCAAGGC
rnacentral:rRNA from 1 species